ensembl:snRNA U6 U6 spliceosomal RNA
GCUCUCUUUGGCAGCGCAUAUACUAAAAUUGAAACAAUACAGAGAUUAGCAUGGCCCCUGCACAAGGAUGACAGGCAAAUUCAUGAACUGUUCCAUAGUAAA